AUUGAACGCUGGCGGAAUGCUUUACACAUGCAAGUCGAACGGCAGCACGGACUUCGGUCUGGUGGCGAGUGGCGAACGGGUGAGUAAUGUAUCGGAACGUGCCCAGUCGUGGGGGAUAACGUAGUGAAAAUUACGCUAAUACCGCAUACGAUCUAUGGAUGAAAGCGGGGGAUCGCAAGACAUCGCGCGAUUGGAGCGGGCGAUAUCAGAUUAGGUAGUUGGUGGGGUAAAGGCCCACCAAGCCAACGAUCUGUAGCUGGUCUGAGAGGACGACCAGCCACACUGGAACUGAGACACGGUCCAGACUCCUACGGGAGGCAGCAGUGGGGAAUUUUGGACAAUGUGCGAAAGCCUGAUCCAGCCAUUCCGCGUGCAGGAUGAAGGCCCUCGGGUUGUAAACUGCUUUUGUACAGAACGAAAAGGUUUCUACUAAUACUAGGAGCUCAUGACGGUACCGUAAGAAUAAGCACCGGCUAACUACGUGCCAGCCGCCGCGGUAA
rnacentral:rRNA from 1 species